ACGGGGGGGGCAAGCGUUGUUCGGAAUUACUGGGCGUAAAGGGCUCGUAGGCGGCCAACUAAGUCGGAUGUGAAGUCCCCAGGCUCAACUUGGGAACUGCAUCCGAUACUGGAUGGCUUGAAUCCGGGAGAGGGAUGCGGAAUUCCAGGUGUAGCGGUGAAAUGCGUAGAUAUCUGGAGGAAUACCGGUGGCGAAGGCGGCAUCCUGGACCAUUACUGACGCUGAGGCGCGAAAGCUAGGGGAGCAAACGGGA
rnacentral:rRNA from 1 species